CAAGAUACGGGUAAUUAUUGUAUAUUCCUUUGGGGAGAGAUCGGUUUGGUUUUUGAUUUUUGGGCUAUCUCAGAAUUAUAUAAAUUUCAAGUUACCUACUUUCGUGACUUUUGAAUCUUUUAAUAUGGGGUGUAGGUUUCUGAUUUUAAAAUCUUUGAUCAUCUCUGUAGACAAAAGGUCGGAGGAGGAAUGGAAUGUUGGAGGUUUUGGGAGUUCUUGACUUUUUUUUUUGGCCAAUUUAUUGAUUUGUUAUUGUUGUUUGUUUGAUCAGGUAUGAGUAAUAAUGCUAGGGGAAUGAUUAUAGGUACCUUCCAGUGUAUUUCAUGAUUCUCCUUCUAUGCUUGUUACCUUCUACCAGUUACCUAAUAUUCAUAUCACUGCUUUCCUUUAAUGUAUUGUUUAUUUAUUUAUUUGUUCCCAUUUUCUUGUGUAUUAUAGUAAGAGUUUAUAAUUGCAAUCCUUUUGAUUAAUCCAUGAUAUGAGUACACAGAAGAUUCAUGAGCAAGAGUGUAUUCAUUAUUCAACGAACAACUACAUCCAUUUUUACUGGGGAAUUUUCAUAUGAGACUAUUCUUCCUUUUAAUCUACUAUAUAAAGGUUUUAAAUUGGCCCUCAAUAUUAAAGAUAAUUACAUUCUUGAAAGGAUCAAAGACUCUACACCUUCGUGGCUUUUUGCUUGUUAGGACUGGAAAUUUAACUCCCCAAGCAUGCCUACUUGGAUCUCCUAUUGUAGACUUAUGUGUCACAACCAUUCAUGUGCACCUUGUUUCUUGGCCUUUUUUUUUUUGCUUUCAACUCCAAGAUGGAAAUUGUUAGGCUUCGACCAAAAUUGGGGUUUUCAAUCUUGUCUCUUGCAUCUCUAGUGAUUUCUUAGGUGAUAUGGAUUAUCUCAGCUUUGCACUUAACUGGUCCCUUCUUUUUGUGCUUGCAGUUGGGUAUUGCAUAGCAGUGAAUUAUUCUUUUUAUGGAGGGGAUUUGUUUGGCCACUUGUGUUGAGCUUUCUUUUUUUCAGGUUUUUAUGAGUAUUGAGAUUAUCUCUUUAUUUCUGUUGUAUAGAAGUUCCCAAGUAAAAUAGGUUUUCUUGCACUCGUCUGUGUUGUAUUCUGCUACCCUUUUUAGUUUUUGUCCAGAUGCUUAUGUUCUUCGAUGAUCCAAUUGAUGAAAUUCCUGGUGGUUGAUAGGUAUAUUGUCCUACACAUGGUAAAUACUCAAUACUCAAAUCCUGGAUCUCUUGACAGCCCCGUCAAGUGGGUCUUUAUUACUCUCUCACUUUUGGUAUUCUCUCUGCUUUCUUCCUGUUUCUUGCCGCAUCGUCACCCCAGCUUGAUUUUGUUUGUUGGAUGGAUGACAGUUGAGAGGAUCAGAUUUGGAAAAUUUCAAAGAUUGAUGAUGUGAUCAGGCUUUGACUGUUAGUGUUAGUUCCUAUCUUGUUUGAUAGAGGGGUUUUCCUAUUUGUUUCUUUGCCAUUUCUGUGCUUGCAUUGCAAUCUCAAUAUAUUCAGGCUUCAAGAGAGGGGUUUUUCAAUCUUGUUUGUGGAAAUUUGUAGUGGGUUUCAUCAGCUUUGCAUGUAACUCUUUCCUUCAUUCCUUUGCUUGCAGUCAUUGGGUCUUACGAAGCAGUGGAUUCUUCUUUUCAUGGAGUGACCUUAUUUGUCCAUAGGUGAUGAGGUUUUGUUAGUUCAAUCUUUUAUGAGUAGAGAGAAUUUUCAAUUCAGUUUUCUUCUCUAAUGACUCCUUUGUCUUUGUCAAAACUACUGUUAGUUUCUCAAUUAGGACAUUAUUUUCACCCAUGUGUUGUGUUCUGUUGCCAUGAAGUUCUAAGUCCUCACGCUUAUAUUCUUCGAUGAUCCAAUUGAAGAGGUCUUUUAUGAAUUUGGAGACCUGACAAGUACUUUGGCCUAUUCUAGAUCUUUUGAAAGUUGCAUAAAAUACUUCUUUACUUUUGUUCUUCUAACUUCUUAUCUUAUCUGCUUCCAUUUUUUUCAAUUAUCACACUAGUUUUUUUGGUUGUACGGAUGUGUAGACCAUGUGUUAACACUGUUAUAGAUGUUGAAAUUUGGAACUUCCAAAGUUUGGUUAACCAACAUGUGAUCCUCUUGCCACUUUUUGGUCUUUUUGGUGCUUGCACUGCAUUCUGGAUAUUGUGUGCCCUUUGACAAAAGGGGGUUCUCAGUUGUCUAUGGCAUCUAUAGUGAUUACGUAGGUGGUUUUGGGUUCGUUAGAUUUGCAAUUAACUGUUGCCUUCUUUCUAUUCUUGCAGCUAUUGGUUACAGGGUAGUGAAUUAUUCAUUUCAUGGAGAGGUCGUGUUUGUUCGUUUGUUGUUGAUGCUUCUUUGGUUAAGUCUUGUUUUGAGUAUCCAGAUUUUCGAUUCAGUUUUUUUGCCUAAUGACUCCUUGUGUUUGUGAAAACUAUUGUUGUAUGGAAGUUUCUCAAAUAAGACAUUAAUUUCCACCUGAAUGUUUUGUAUUUGCUGCCAUGAAGUUUUAUGUCCAGACACUUAUGUUCUUCAAUGAUCCAGUUGAUAGGUUUCCUAUGGUUAUGGACACUUGAAAAGUACCAGCCGAUUCUAGACCUUUUGAUAGUGGCAUAAAAUACUUCUUCUCUUCUAUUCUUGUAGCUACUUACUUAUCUUCUCUGCUUCCAUUUCUUUUUUGUUAUCACACUAGUUUUUUUUUUUUUGGUUGGAUGGAUGUGUAGAUCCUGUGGUGACACUGUUAUGGAUGUUUAGAUUUGGAAAUUUCAUAGCUUGGUUAACCAACAUGUGAUCCUUUGCCACCUUUUAGUCUUUUUGGUGCAUGCCCUGCUAUCUGGAUAUUGUCCAUGCUUCAACAAAAGAUGAUUUUCACUCUCAUCUAUGGCAUCUCUAGUGAUCAUUUAGGUGGUUAGGGGUUCGUCAGAUUUGCACUUGAUUGUUCCCUUCUUUCUGUUCUUGCAGCCAUUGGUUACAGGGCAGUGAAUUAUUCUUUUUAUCGAGAGGUCGUGUUUGUCUGUUUGUUGUUGAAGUUUCUUUAGUCACGUCUUUUAUUAGUAUUGUGAUUUUUGAUUCAAUUUUCUUCCCUAAUGGCUUCUUUGUGCAUGAGGGUUUUUAGUCCAAGCGCCUUAUGUUCUUUGAUGAUCCAAUUGUCUAUAAGUACUCGGCCAAUUUUAAAUCUCUUUAUAGUGGUGUAAGAUACUUGUUCAGUUAUAUUCUUGUAGCUACUUGCUUAUCUUCUCUGCUUCCAUUUCUUUGUCAUUGUUACACUAUUUUUUUUGGUUGGAUGGAUGUGUAGAUCUUGUGGUGAUACUGGUAUGGAUGUUCAGAUUUGGGAAUUUCAAAGUGAGGUUGAUCAACAGGUGAUCCUCUGCCACCUUUUGGUCUUUUUGGUUCUUGCAAUGCAAUCUGGAUAUUGUCCAAGCUUUUACAAAAGGGGUCUUUUAGUUUUCAUCUAUGGAAUCUCUAGUGAUUACUUGGGUGGUUUGGGGUUUGUCGGAUUUGGACGUAACUGUUCCCUACUUUCUGUUCUUGCAGCCAUUGGUUAUAGGGAAGUGAAUUUUUGUUUUCAUGGAGCGGCCAUGUUUGUCUGCUUGUGUUGAGGUUUCUUAGUUAAGUCUUUUAUGAGUAUCGAGAUUAUGGAUUCAGUUUUCUUCCUUAUAACUAAGGGUCUUGUAUGGAAGUUCUCAACUAAGAUAUUAAUUUUCUCCGGCAUGUGUUGUAGUUUGCUGCCAUGAGGUUUUUAGUCUAUACGACUUAUGUUCUUCGAUGAUCCAAUUGAUGAGGUCUCAUAUGGCUAUCGACACUUGAUAAGUACUCGGCCAAUUGUAGAUCUUUUGAUAGUUGCGUAAAAUACUUCUUCAGUUUUAUUAUUGCAGCUACUUAUCUUCUCCACUUCCAUUUCUUUUUCGUUAUAGUUAUUUUUGGUUGGAUGGAUGUGUAGACCAUGUGGUGACACUGUUAUGGACGUUAGAUUUGGAAAUUUCAAAGCUUGGUUAACCAACAUGUGAUCCUCUGCCACCUUUUGUCUUUUUUUUUAUGCUUGCACGACAAUCUUGAUGUUAUUUGAGUUUUGACCAAAGGUGGUUUGUUCGUUAGAUUUUCUCUCAAUUGUUCCCUUCUUUCUAUUCUUGCACCCAUUGGUUUACAGGCAGUGGAUUAUUCUUUUGACGGAGCGGCUGUGUUUGUCCGUUUGUGUCGAGGUUUUUUUAGUAAAGUCUUUUAUGAAUAUUGAGAUUUCGUUUCAGAUAUGUUUCCUAAUGGCUCUUCUGUCUUUGUCAAAACUACUGUUGUAUGGAUGUUUCUCAAAUACGACAUUAUUUUUCACCGGAGUGUGUAAUCUGCUGCCAUAAAGUUUUAAGUCCAGAUGCUUUUGUUCUUCGAUGAUCCAAUUAAUGACAUCUCCUAUGACUAUGGACACUUGAUAAGUACUCAGCCAAUUCUAGAUCAUCUGAUAGUGGCGAAAAGUACUUUUUUACUUUUUUUCUUCUAUUAUCUUCUAUGCUUCCAUAUAUUUUUCGUCAUCACACAAGUUUUUUCUGGUUGAAUGGACCAUGUGGUGACAUUGUUUUGGACGUUCAAAUUUUGCAAUUUCAAAGCUUGGUUUACCAAUAUGUGAUUCUUUGCCAUCUUUUGGUUUUUUUGGACGUUCAGAUUUGGAUAAUUCAAAUCUGGAUAUUGUCUGAGCUUUGACAAAGGGGUGUUUUUAGUGUCGUCUAUGGCAUUUCUAGUGAUUACUUAGGUGGUUUGGGGUUCGUCAGAUAUGCACUUAACUAUUCCCUUCUUCUGUUCUUGCAAUCAUUGGUUACAUUGCAAUGAAUUGUUAUUUUCAUGGAGUGGUCGUGUUUGUCUGUUUGUGUUGAGGUUUCUAUAGUUCAAGUCUUUUAUGAGUAUCGAUAUUUUCGAUUCAGUUUUCUUCUCUUAUGGCUCCUGUUAUACUAUAGAAAGUACUGUUGUAUGGAAGUUUCUCGGCUAAGAUAAUAUUUUUCACCAGUGUGUGUUGUGUUUUGCUGCCAUGAAGUUUUUAAUCCAGACAUUAUGUUCUUCGAUGAUCCAAUUGACGAGGUUUUCUAUGGCUAUGGAUGCAUGAUAAGUACUCAGCCAAUUCUGGAUCUUUUCUUUUGACAGUACCAUAAAGGCUGCUCUACUUCUGGUCUUCUAGCUAUAUAUAUUCUCUGUUUCCAUCUUCUUUUAGUUAUCACAACUUGUUUUCUUUUGUUUGGAUGGAUGUGUAAACUAUUGGUUACAGUAAUAACGGUUAAGAUUUGGAGAUUUCAAAGUUUGAUAUCCAGUAUGGCAUCUCAGUACCCUCUUGUUCUUUUUGGUUCUCAGGGCUUCAACAAAAGGGGGUUUUAAAUCUUGUCUAUGUGGUAUCUCUAGUGGUUUCUUAGAUGGUAUGCGUUUCGUCAGCUUUUGGACUUAAUUGACCCUUCUUUUUGUGCUUGCAACCAUUGGGUCUUACAGAGCAAUUUUUCUUUUCAUGGCGCGGAUUUCUUUGUCCAUUUAUGUCGAGGUUUCCAUGGCUCAAGCUUUUAUGAGUUUUGACAUUUUCAACUAAAAUAGUUCUUUUUUUCAUAAGUAUGUGUUGUUCUACUACCAUGUUUAGUUUUUAGUCUAGAUGCUUAUUUUCUUCAAUAAUCCAAUGAUGAGAUUCCUGAUGGUUGAUGGUUAUUGUCUCAUGGACAUCUGACAAGUACUCAAUUUUGGAUCUUUUGAAAGCCUCGUAAAAUGGUAGUCUCUUUUGGUGUUCUCGCUGCUCAUCAUUUGUGCUUUCUUUUUCUUGUAUUAUGCUUGCUUGAUUUUGUUUGUUGGAUGUAUGUAUGGUGACAGUUGAGAGGAAUAUGACUUGGAAGAUUUUGAAGGUUGGUGUCAAGUUUGCAUUUCUGUGCACCUUCUUUCUUGGCCAUGUUGGUGCUUGCAUUACAAUCUGGAGAUUAUCAGGUUUCGAAAGAAGCUGCUGGGUCUUACAGAACCAUAGAUUCUUCUUUUCAUGGAGCGGCGUGGUCUGUCAAUUUUGUGAGGUUUUUUGGUCAAUGCUUCUAAUGAUUAUUGAUAUCAUCAAUUCAGUUUUCUUCCCUAAUCAGUAUGGUUUCAUUCUUCCUUAUCAACACUGCUUCAUUUGUGUGUAUUUUGUUGCCAUACAUGUUUUUUAAUAGUCCAGAUGUUUAUGUUCUUUGGUGAUCCAACUGUUGAGAUCUCCAUGGUUAUGGACAACACAUGAUAAGUGUAUUCAAGCUCAGUCGUGGAUCUUUUGAUGGGUCUUUUAAUGGUCCUGUAACACUGUUCUCUAGUUUUCGUGUUCUCGCUACUUACAUUCUCUGAUUUCAUUUUGCCUACCUGUUUAUUUAGUUUGGUUGGAUGAAUUUUUUUAGGCAACAUGGGUAGUAAGAGGAUAAGAUUUGGAAAUUUUGUAGUUUGGUUUCAGUGUGCAUCCCUGUGGACCAUGUUGGCCAUUUUGGUGCUUACACUGCAAUUUGGAUAUUGGAUUGACCAUUCCUCCAGAACAGGGCACUUUACAAUCUUAUCUUGCUUGGCAUCUCGAGUGAUCUUUCCUGCGUGGUAUGGUUUUCCACUUACCUGUUACGUUCUUUUUGUGCAUGUAACCAUUGGGUUUUCCAGAGCAUGGACUUCAAUUCAGUUGUCUUCCUAUUCAGUGGGUCCCUUUUCUCUUGUGGAAGUUCUCAACAAUGAUAAUAUGUUCCACUAGUGUGCAUUGUACGCUGCAGCCAUGAAAGUUUUUACUCUAGAUGCUUAUUUUCUUGGAUGAUCCAAAUGAUGAGAUCCCUGAUUGUUAUGGACACCUGAGAAGUACCCAGACUCAAUAUUCCCAAGGGCUCCUCUACUUCGAAGUUCUUGGUACUUAUCUUCUCUGCUUCUAUUUUCUUAUGUUUAUCAUGACACUUAAUUAUGUUUGGUUAGAUGCAUGUUUGUAGAUCACAUGGUGACCGUGAGGGGGAUUGAAUUGGUAAUUUUGAAGUAUGGUUUCGUCCUUCCCUUGUGCACACUAUUUCUUUUUCCAUUUUGGUGCUUGUGCUUGCACUGCAAUUUGGAAAUCACCAGGCACUGGCAGGGGAAUUGUUGGGUCUGGCAUCUCUAGUGAUCUGUUCUAUGUGGUAUGGGUUUGGCUUCUAGCACUUAACCUGUUAACUUCUUUUUGUACUUGUUGUUGUUAGGUCUUUCAAGAUUAGCGAAGUCUCCCUUUCAUGGAGUAGCCUUGUUUCUUGUAGUGUUGAAGUUUCUUAGUUCAGGCAUUGUAUUAGUAUCUAGCUCUUUGAUUCAGUUUUCUUCCCUGGACAUAAAGAGUCCUUUACUUCGUUGUCAAAAGUGUUGUUACAUGGAUGUUUUCAACUACGAUAACUCUUUCCACAAGUGCAUUUUCAGCUUUUAGUCCAGAUGAUUAUGUUUUGCAAUGAUCCAACUGGUGAGGGCCUCUUAUGGGUGUGGAUAUCUGGUAUGUACUCCCUCAGUUCUGGAUCUUUUCACAGCCCAGUAAAAAUGCUCAUCUAUCUUUUGUGUUCUUGCUGCUCAUCUUUGUGGCGUCCAUUUUCUUUUUGCUUAUCACAUCAGUUUGAGUUUUGUGUGUUGGAAGGAUGUAUAUACCCUACAUCGUGAACUGUAUUGGAGGAUUAGAGUUGGAAAUUUUAAAGGUUAGUGUUCAGUAUGCUGGUUAUUUAGGUGCUUCCACUGCAAUCUUGAUAUCGUUUUAGGCCUUCGAGAAAAAGGGGGUUUCGAAAUAUUAAUGAUUUGGAAAUUUUAAAGGUAGUUCAAUAAGCUGGUCGUUUAGGUGCUUGCACUGCAAUCUGGAUAUCUUUUUAGUGCUUCGAGAAAAAGGGCAUUUCUAAAUAUUAUCUACGUCAUUUCUCAUGAUUUCCCAAGCAGUUUGCGGUGGCCAGCUUUUCACUUAACUGGUCCUUCUUUCUGUGCUUGCAGUUGUGGUUUUAAAGAUUUAAUUUCUUCUUUUUGUGGGGCAGCCUUUGUUUGUUGAUUUAUGUUGAGGUUUCAUUUGGUUCAAGCUCCUGUGAGUGUCUGGUAUUCAGUUCAGUGUUCUCUUCUCUAAUCAGUAUGAUAUUUUCUGAACCACUCUCUAUUCAAAGUGGUGCUCUUCUAGCAGUUAGUUUAACUGAAAAUUUUGCAUGUCAAUGGUGGUUACAGUACAUAGUCAUUUUCAUUCAAUUUCUGGUUCAUUAUUGGGUGCAGUAUCUACAAGCCAUAAUCACUACUAUUUUCAGACUAAUUGUUGUUAGGUAAAUAAAGCGCUCUUUUUUAUUUUUGGAGAUCUCUCCCCUAUCUUCUUCUUUUUUCCUUGAAACAUGUGUAUUAUUUUCAGAUAUCCAAUCAUUUGACAAGUUGCUUCAGACUGUAAGCUAUUAUGUAUAACUUUAAUAUAAAAAGAGAGCUCCUGCACACUUUUUUCCUUGAUAAACACCAUUUGAACUGUCUUUGCAAUUCAUUGAGUCUAGAACAGAUCAAGUGAAAAACUUGCUCAUCUUUGUAUGACAGGUCAUGUACACUCUUUAUGUAUUUAUAUAUAUCACAAAGAUAUUCUUUUUUCUGCGUAAAAGAUCUUCCUUGCCAUUACGUAUUAGAUCAUUGUGCAAGUUAGCACCCUGUUUCUUGGCCAUGUUGGUGCUUGCACUACAAUCUGGAGAUUAUCAGGCUUCGAAUGAAGGCGGUUCCCAAUCUUGUCUGGAAUUUCUAAUGAAUUACCAGGUUGUACCUAGUUCACUAGCAUUGCACUUACUGUUCCAUUCCUUAUGUGCUUGCAGCCGCUGGGUCUUUUUUUGUUUAUGCUCCGCCUUGUUCCGCCCAACAUGAACCCGCCCCACAUAAACGAACCCUGCGUAAUUUUUGUUUAAAAGUAAUGUAACAAUUAUCAAUCUACUGUUAAUAUUGAAAUAAUAUAUGUGUCUUCAUUUCUAAGACAAAUUGUAGAAUAUAUAGUCAUUAACUGAACUAACUUUUAAGUCGUCUUCCAUCUUUGCCAUUUCUUUUAUACAUAGAGUUUAAUAAUUGUGUAUAAUUAUUCAAGAGUUAUUUAAGUUUGCUGAACCAGGGAGGAAUGCAUCUUAUUUCUUAUUUUUCUCUCUAAUGUAUACGUACAAAUCCUUAAUUAUCAUCAAUUCACUGCUUUAGCCUCUAGUUUGUACAUAGAGCCAUGUUUUAGGAUCAAAUAUCAGCAAAUAGACAUGUAUGUAAAUAGUGAAAUUAAUAAUUAACUAUGAGUUAAUGAUACUUAUGACAUACAUUAAAACAAAUGAUUCCUCUAGAAAAAUCAAAACUUUCUUUGAACUAGACUUUGUUAGAUAUGCCAGUUGCCUCCUCUGUUUCACUGAAACUCUCAACACAUCUACCCUUAAUUUAUGUUUCAAAAGAAACAUCCCCAACCCGCGUACCGCCCCGCCCCAUAUGUUUCUUUUCAAAAAUAUUUUGUACUUGCCCCGCAAAAGCUCUAACCCGCCCCGCCCCGCAAAUACUAUUACCUCCCCCCCCUUCAACCUCUCUGCCCCAUUGCCAUCCCUAUUGAUGUUUCUAAUGAUUACUGAGAUCUUCAAUUCAGUUUUCUUCCCUAAUCAGAAUGGUUCCCUUCUCUCUUGUCUACACUGCCUUACUAGUGUGUAUUUUGUAGCCAUAUUUAUAUUUUAAUAAACCAGAUGCUUAUGUUCUUUGGUGAUCCAACUGAUGAGAUCUCCAUGGUUAUGGACAACACAUGAUAAGUGUAUUCGAACUCAAUCGUGGAUCUUUUGAUUGCCCUGUAAGGCAUUCCUCUACUUUUUGUGUUCUCGCUACUUCGCUUUUCUUAUUUCGCUUAGCCAACCAAUUGAUUUAGUUUGGUUGGAUGAAUGUUUGUAGGCCACAUGGUGGGAGUAAGAGGAUAAGAUUACGAUAUUUUGUUGUUGUUUUUUCGGUGUGCAUUCUUGUGGACCAUGUUUCUUACCAUUUUGGUGAUUGCACUACAAUCUAGGUAUUGGAUAUCACCAGGCAUCAACAACAGGGAACUUUGCAAUCUUAUCUUGUUUGGCAUCUCGAGUGAUCUCUCCUGCGUGGUAUGGUUUCCACUUACCAGUUACGUUUAUUUUGUGCAUGUAACUGUUGGGUCUUCCAGAACAUGGACUUCAAUUCAAUUGUCUUUCUAAUCAGUGGGUCCCUUUUCUCUGUCUAAAUUACCGUGGAAGUUCUCAACAAUGAUAAUAUUUCCACUAGUGUGUGUUGUACUCUGCAGCCAUAAAGUUUUUAGUCUAGAUGCUUAUUUUCUUGGAUGAUCCAAAUGAUGAGAUCCCUGAUUUUUAUAGACACCUAAGAAGUAACCCAAACUCAAUUUUAGAUCUUCUUAUGGCCCUAAGAGCUCCUCUACUUUGGUGUUCUUGUUGCUCUUAUGUUUAUCAUGGCACUUGAUUUUGUUUGCUUGGAUGCAUGCUUGUAGACCACAUGGUGAUCGUUUGGGGAUUAGAUAUAGUAACACCUCGGACUUCGAGAAAGGGCUAAAAAGGAUAAACGGGCAGGUCCAUGAACCCAAAAUGGAGGACCCUUCACGGCACUCUAGAUGGGGCCGUUUAGGGGUCCUCGACCCAUUAGGGCAUCAUGAACAACCAUGUAGGACUGCCUGGGCCAUAGUCACCUAGACGACACCUUAGACGGACCGUGUUGACUUGGAUGACCCGUCUAGGGGUCCGUACAAGUCAUCCACUAGUUUUUAAAUUUUGUGUCAACUUCAAACGAUCAUAUCUCUCAGCACAAAAUGAAUUAGGUUGCCCAUGACCUAUCAAAUUAAAGGUUUUUGAGUCAUCUUUCCAACACCACCAAGUUUUCCUAAUUUUGAGCAAGGAGUAAAAAGUAAUGCCCAUUUUAUUGAAGACUUGUCGGGCAGGGCAACAUCACGACCCACUAGAUGCGUCGUGAUGCUUUUAACGGCCCGUGAAGCCCAUCUUUUAAGUCACCUCGUCAGUUUUAAGUCAGGGUCGUAUUGGUCUUUUCCCCUAUGCGUUUGAUACUUAAACUACGUCGUUUUACUUCGUCUAAGCCUAAGUAAUCAGUCAAAAAAACUGCCUAACACAUUCAUUCUCCUAAAAUCAUUAGACUUAGAAAGAAAAGAAGAGAAAGGGGCGAUAGUUUUCUCUCCAGAAUAAGCAGAGCUCUCUUUCAAGUUCAGCCCCGAAAUUCAAGGGAUGUCUUUGUAGUUUUCUUCACCAGGUAUGUGGGUAUUCACUAAGGGUUUCGCUUGCCCUUAUGCCCAAAAUUUCAGACUCCUUUUUCGAUUAUUAUUGUUUUAUGAAACUAGAGUUCUUGCCCAACUAUGCAGAUUCUUUACAAAACUGAUUCUUGUGAUUACUACUUGAUUCUAUAUUUAUUUAAAUGACUUUGCAUGAAUUCUUAUGGAGAUUUGAAAGGAAUAGCCAGUAAUUGUAGUAUUUUCACAUGAAUUAGCUCUUCUCCAGAAUUUAGCUCAGGGUGUUCCCUGGAUUUUACAUCAUCAAUAGGAUAAACAUUUGCUAAUAUAUUCCCUGAUUUUAAAGUUAAUAUGAAAAAAAGGGUCAACAAUAACCCCCAUUGAUGAUGUUUUGAACAUAUUUUGAAUUUGAAGCAAUGUAACAAUGUUUGUGAAUUAUGCAUUAUGAUUAUUGUAUCUUAACAAUAUGUUUAUCUGAAAAAUGACAUCUAAACCCAAAAAAAAUUAGCAAUAUGAAUAUUUGUGACCAAACUAUUAGAGGACAUUUUUACUGAAUUUUCCACUGUUUAAGAGUAUUUUUGACCCUUUUCCAGUUUUUAAACUAUAUUAAGAUUGAAUAGAUAUACUAGCGGCUAUGUUUGCUUAGUUAUGAACUUUUCCCAUUAUUUCCCCCUAGAGUAUAUAAUUAUGAUGGAUAUGCAAUAAAUGAAUUUAUUAUUAAAAAGAAGUUAGCUAAUUAAAAUGAUGUGUCAACUAGGAAAGAAUACAUCGUAAGUAUAUAAUUAAUUUUUAUUUUAAAUAAAUUAGCUAAUUAUUUUACUUUGUUCACAUCAAGAAUCUGGCCUAGUUUAUUUCAAUUCAUCUCCUAUUAUAUUCAACGAAUUCGAAUUAUGGAUGAAAAUAUAUCAAGGAACUGGUCCUUCGAUUUUGCUUCUAAAUUGGAUCAACCAACACUUAGCCCAAAACUUGGACUACUAAUUUAGGCCCGAAAUCACUCAAACCCCACGCUCCUCUCCCUUUCCUUCGUCACUCUUCAUUCUCUCCUCUUCCAACGGUCCUUUUACAAUUUGGAAUUAGUCUCUGCAACGGCUCUUUCGGUUUGAAAUUUGAUAUCUCCGGCACCCUACAUAGCUUUAUUUAUUGUCCAUAUAUAUCAGCCAUUGAAAUUAGGGAUACUUAGCUCUGGAGAAAACUUUUCUCGUCCAAGUCUUUUUCGAGUUCUCUUUUGGCUGUUUCAGUUGUUCGUGGUGGAGGGUUUGUUAUCUUCGACUCGUCUAGUCUGUUUUGAGUUCUCUUUUGGCUGAUUGAGUUGCUCGUGGUUGAGGGUUUGUUGUCUUCGAUUCGUCGUCCCAAAACACUGAUCCUAAAAAGGUGGUGGAAAGUGAAGAGAUUUUUUGAGGAAGCUUGGGA